ACGUAGGUCCCGAGCGUUGUCCGGAUUUAUUGGGCGUAAAGCGAGCGCAGGCGGUUUGAUAAGUCUGAAGUUAAAGGCUGUGGCUCAACCAUAGUUCGCUUUGGAAACUGUCAAACUUGAGUGCAGAAGGGGGGAGUGGAAUUCCAUGUGUAGCGGUGAAAUGCGUAGAUAUAUGGAGGAACACCGGUGGCGAAAGCGGCUCUCUGGUCUGUAACUGACGCUGAGGCUCGAAAGCGUGGGGAGCGAACAG
rnacentral:rRNA from 1 species